rnacentral:rRNA from 1 species
CCUACGGGUGGCUGCAGUGGGGAAUAUUGCACAAUGGGCGCAAGCCUGAUGCAGCCAUGCCGCGUGUGUGAAGAAGGCCUUCGGGUUGUAAAGCACUUUCAGCGGGGAGGAAGGCGGUGAGGUUAAUAACCUCAUCGAUUGACGUUACCCGCAGAAGAAGCACCGGCUAACUCCGUGCCAGCAGCCGCGGUAAUACGGAGGGUGCAAGCGUUAAUCGGAAUUACUGGGCGUAAAGCGCACGCAGGCGGUCUGUCAAGUCGGAUGUGAAAUCCCCGGGCUCAAUCGGGGAACUGCAUUCGAAACUGGCAGGCUAGAGUCUUGUAGAGGGGGGUAGAAUUCCAGGUGUAGCGGUGAAAUGCGUAGAGAUCUGGAGGAAUACCGGUGGCGAAGGCGGCCCCCUGGACAAAGACUGACGCUCAGGUGCGAAAGCGUGGGGAGCAAACAGGAUUAGAUACCCCAGUAGUC